AACGAACGCUGGCGGCAUGCCUAACACAUGCAAGUCGAACGAGACCUUCGGGUCUAGUGGCGCACGGGUGCGUAACGCGUGGGAACCUGCCCUUAGGUUCGGAAUAACUCCCCGAAAGGGGUGCUAAUACCGGUUAAUGUCUUCGGACCAAAGAUUUAUCGCCUUUGGAUGGGCCCGCGUUGGAUUAGCUAGUUGGUAGUGUAAAAGCCUACCAAGGCGACGAUCCAUGGCUGGUCUGAGAGGAUGAUCAGGCACACUGGGACUGAGACACGGCCCAGACUCCUACGGGAGGCAGCAGUAGGGAAUAUUGGACAAUGGGCGAAAGCCUGAUCCAGCAAUGCCGCGUGAGUGAUGAAGGCCUUAGUGUUGUAAAGCUCUUUUACCCGGGAUGAGAAUGACAGUACCGGGAGAAUAAGCUCCGGCUAACUCCGUG
rnacentral:rRNA from 1 species